GGAGGGAAGCAGGCUGGGAGGACGGAAAAAAAGGAAGGGGUAGCAAUGAUUAGGGAUAAUGUGGUCAUUGUCUAAGUCAUUAAAUAUUGUUUAGUCCCUACAUCUAAACAGGGGGGACUAAGACUAAAAAUAAGCAAGUGGAAACCAAACACAGCCUAAGACUAAGGGCAGUCCCAAUGGGACAUUGAUGAUAGUUUCUAUCCCUCUUAAUUGUCAUGCCAACUAAGCAAUUUGCUGAUGUGGCAGUAGAUUUAUUAUGGAGAGAGA
rnacentral:lncRNA from 1 species